GUUCCCAAUUUCUUCCAUUGUUAUUGUUCUGUUAGUUUCUCUCUUCUGGAAUCAAUUCUGAUAACUGGAUUUCCCAUUGCCAAGGCAUCCUGCAGGACGCUCAACAAGCAGGCAACUAAGGAAGAGUAGAUUAAGCUACCCUGGAACAACUUGUGACACUGUGACCAACACAUAUGCUUCCUUUGACGAUGGAGGACUCCUGUGUUUUAGCUCCAUGCAUCUGGGCUGUGGCUCCCCCUAAAUCACUCAUCCCUUAACCUGGAGUUGACUGCAGAUGCGUGAAGGAGCUCAGGAGGGCCAACAGAAGAAGCAUCCAACUGAGCGCAUCUAGCUGGCAACCCACAGAAUCAUCUUGAGGAAAAUAAAUGAUUGUUGCUCAAAACC
rnacentral:lncRNA from 1 species